rnacentral:lncRNA from 1 species
UUCUGAUUUUAAUGGUAUAGUAUGGUAUCAAAGGAAGCCCUCUUCUCUUAGCAUCAAAUACUAACCCAGAAACUGAUUCAAAAUACUAUGGACAAGAAAUUUAAAAAAAAUAAAAAGAUAAAAAAUUUGCAGAAACUAAAACACAUCUACUACAAAAACUUGCAAUAAAGCUUCCAGAAAUCAAGAGAUCCUCUACAAACCAAACUCGAGCAGAAGAAACCCCUAGCCUAGAGCUUGAUAUUUUACCUUCGAUAAACCAGCAGAGGUGAACCAGCACACUAACGAGGCAAGCAAAGAGAAGAGGUGAACCAGCAGAG